rnacentral:rRNA from 1 species
GAUGAACGCUAGCGGCAGGCUUAAUACAUGCAAGUCGAGGGGCAGCGCAGUGUACCAAUACCCGUGCGGCGACCGGCAACGGGUUCGGAACCCGUACGCAACCUACCCAUAACUACUGAAAAGCCCUCCGAAAGGAGGAUUAAUUCAUCGUAACUUAAUUAAGCGGCAUCGCUUUAUUAAUAUAGCCGCUGCGGUUUUGGAUGAGCGUGCGCCUGAUUAGGUAGUUGGCGGGGUAACGGAUCACCAAGACUGCGAUCAGUAACUGGUGUGAGAGCACGACCAGUCACACGGGCACUGAGACACGGGCCCGACGCCUACGGGAGGCAGCAGUAAGGAAUAUUGGUCAAUGGACGCAAGUCUGAACCAGCCAUGCAGCGUGAAGGAUGAAGGUCCUCUGGAUUGUAAACUUCUUGUGAAUGGGACGAAACCUCUUUCUCUUGAGAGACUGACGGUACCAUAAGAAUAAGCACCGGCUAACUCCGUG